rnacentral:rRNA from 1 species
UACGUAGGUGGCAAGCGUUGUCCGGAUUUACUGGGCGUAAAGAGCGCGCAGGCGGUCGUUCAAGUCGCGUGUGAAAGCCCCCGGCUCAACUGGGGAGGGUCACGCGAUACUGAUCGACUCGAAGGCAGGAGAGGGUAGUGGAAUUCCCGGUGUAGUGGUGAAAUGCGUAGAUAUCGGGAGGAACACCAGUGGCGAAGGCGGCUCUCUGGACCAGCACUGACACUGAGGCACGAAAGCGUGGGGAGCAAACAGG